CUACGGGGUGCAGCAGGCGCGAAACCUUUACAAUGCACGCAAGUGUGAUAAGGGAAUCCCUAGUGCUCAUGUACUGCAUGGGCUUUUGCUAAGUGUAAAUAGCUUGGCGAAUAAGUGGUGGGUAAGACUGGUGCCAGCCGCCGCGGUAACACCAGCGCCACGAGUGGUAACCACGUUUAUUGGGCCUAAAGCGUCCGUAGCCGGUUUGGUAAAUCUUUUGUGAAAUUGUUCAGCUUAACUGAACAGCGUGCAAGAGACACUGCCAAACUCGAGACCGGGAGGAGUCAGAAGUAUUCCAGAGGGAGCGGUAAAAUGUUAUAAUCUCUGGAGGACUACCUGUGGCGAAGGCGUCUGACCAGAACGGAUCUGACGGUGAGGGACGAAAGCCAGGGGAGCGAACCGGAUUAGAUACCCUUGUAGUC
rnacentral:rRNA from 1 species